CACGUAGGGCGCAAGCGUUGUCCGGAAUUAUUGGGCGUAAAGAGCUCGUAGGCGGUCUGUUGCGUCCGCUGUGAAAACUCGGGGCUUAACCCCGAGCCUGCAGUGGAUACGGGCAGACUAGAGGUAGGUAGGGGAGAAUGGAAUUCCCGGUGUAGCGGUGAAAUGCGCAGAUAUCGGGAGGAACACCGGUGGCGAAGGCGGCAUCCUGGACCGACACUGACGCUGAGGAGCGAAAGCCAGGGGAGCAAACGGG
rnacentral:rRNA from 1 species